rnacentral:lncRNA from 1 species
AUGAUAGAUUGCUUUUUUCCCCUCAGUGCAAACCAGAAAUUGAAGCAGACGGAGCAUGUCUUCCACAGUGUCAGGCAAGGGAGUUGGCUUGCGGAGAGUCAGCCCGGACAUACUGGGAGAGCAGCGGUUCCGUUACCCGUGUAUCAGAGAACCGACAAAAGGGAGGUGCACCGUAUGCAGGUUAGGAGUGAAAAAAGCAAGCCCUCCCCAACCACCAUCCCAAAUCUGGAACAAAUAAUCCUAAAAUUUGUAUGGAACCAGAAAAGAUCCCAAAUAGUCAAAGGAAUGUUGAAAAAGGAAACCAAAACUGGUGGCAUCACAAUAUUCACAAUAUUGGACUUCAAGUUCUAUUACAAAGGCAUAAUCAUCAAGACAAUAUGA